rnacentral:lncRNA from 1 species
GUGAUCAAGGUACAGGCUAGUCAUAGAGUGUGGUUUCUUUACAGCAGUAGAGGGUUUAAGAAUUUUUACAUUUCUAGCAGUCAUGGAUGGAGAGGAAGAGGUACUUACUUUAAAGGGUUUGCCUUUCCUUGAAGUAGAUGUUAUAGCCUUCCUUAUAGGGAUUGCAUGGCCAGGUACCAUCGAUAGAGGAACAACAUUAGUAAUGACAUCUGUAGCGGUAAAUUCAUGACCAUUAAGCUAGGGAUAAGCUUAACGUCAAUAAGACCAGAGUCACCACCGCACUUUUAUUGUUUCCAAACGAAAAGGGAAAAGUACAAACAAAACCCAAAGAUAAGAAGUUUUCAAAUCAAAACUAAUAAAAUGCCAGAGAUUACAGGUAAGGGGGUUGGUUGGUUACAUAGAGGGAAGGUGUUAGCAUCCAAAGUGUCCUAGGUACUCAUAGGGAGUCUUUUUUUAUGUGUGUAUGUGUUUUUUGUAUAAAAAGAUGUUUGUGACAAAUAAAGUGUGAUGAGAAAAGAAUUCAUUAAUAAUAUUUUUGUGUUUGACAAGACCUUCGGACUUGUGCCUACGUACCAACAUAAAAAUGAAGGAUCAAAACCUAGUAGUUUGUGGUAUCAAUUUCAAAAUAGGUGGAUUGCUUUUAAUUAAAAGUUAAGUUUAAAAGAGGCACAAAAGGCCCAAAAGUUUGAAUGAGUGUUAGUUCUUUUUGUCUUUUGAAUUUUUAAGUCAAUAUGAUUAGAUUUAUGUACAAAUUUGAUUUAAGAAAGGGAGUUAAAAAAAGCAAUGGCAUAAGGCCAACGUUUCUAAUUUGAAAUAAGUUGUAAGUUUUGAAAUCACAAGCAAAGAAAGUUUUUGAAAAGGGGGAGAUAUUUUUAAAUUUAAUAAGUGGGAAGAGAUGAAGAGACUAAUCCUAAGUAUAAAAUUAAAAGUUGAGAGUUGAAAAGAUCUGACCAAUGGGAUGCAAUCCAAGAAACAAGAAUGUCAUAUAGAAAACCCGCUUUCCCUUUGGACUUUUAAAUCAAGCAAUAAUCAGCAAACACUUAGCAAUAUGAAGAGCAAGGCAUCAAAUAAAGAUGGCCACAUCCAAGUAAACAAAUCCAUAGCUAACAGUCUUCUCUGUCUUCUCAUGUAUCAGAUGAAAUACUUCUUUAUUUUUGCUCAGAAUGAGGUGUAGCAUGAGACCAAAAUAAUUGUUGCAUCAAGACCAUAUAGCAGAUGAAUUCAAGUGGAUCCUAAUACUUGCAUCAGAUGAAAGCUCAAAUCACAAUAACUUGGUCUCAGAAAUGUUGGCAUUGGCCAAGUUCUUUUGCAUAUGGAAUGUUACCUAAUUCUAAGUCCAAAAGCUCAUAUCAAACCUAACAUUCCACACAAAGACUUUUUAGGGUUUUUUAUUUAUUAAGUAUUUUAAGGUCCUGAGGCCACAAACACAAACAAAAUACACAAACAAAUAUAUACAAUCGCAAUAUAUGGCUCAAAUGAGCAAAGUGAAAAUGGCAUAAACAUAAACAAAUUAAAUGUUAUGUAAAUGAAAAAUGAAUGGUAAAUGACUUGAAAUUAAAUUGUAUAAAGUAAAUGACUUGAAAAUAAAAGCAAUAUGAAUACAAGUUAGUGAAAUGUUAGUUGUAAAUGAAAAAUGAAUGGUAAAUGACUUGAAAUUAAAUUGUAUAAAGUAAAUGACUUGAAAAUAAAAGCAAUAUGAAUACAAGUUAGUGAAAUGUUAGUUGAUUAGAUGUUAGUGGUGUUUUGCUUUUCAAUUGAUUAAGUCAUUCUUUAGGGAACACUCAACCCUCUAUUCACAAGCAUGGAUCCUUGAACCAAGACAUCUUCCAUAGGAAGAAAAAAGGCCAAGUUUCCAUACAAUACCAUGAAAGGGGGGAGACUUACAAUCCCACUUACUAGAAUGAUAUGCCUUUAGGGUCAAAAUUUAGCUCUAUGUUAAGCAAUCGUAAUUUGACUUAUGUAGAAGCCACAACUAUCUGAGGUCGAGCAAUAAAAAUUUAGGUGCUAAUACAUGUUAGAGAUUUGUUAUAAUGGACCAAACUCCUAAAACAUACCACACACUAAAAGAAAAUAUCAAAAGGAUGGACCUAUCUCAUCCAUACUUGUAUUGGUUCAUCUAAAACCAGGUUAUUAAUGAACCAAUUAGCCUUAGGAUGUUAAGAUUUCAUUGGUCAAUAAAAUGGAUGGGGAAGAAAGGGAUUGAAGAGGAAAAAGGGAGGGGGGGGGUUUAAUGAACCAAUUAGCCUUAGGAUGUUAAGAUUUCAUUGGUCAAUAAAAUGGAUGGGGAAGAAAGGGAUUGAAGAGGAAAAAGGGAGGGGGGGGGGGAGAUGAGAGAAACACAAAUUGGUCAUGGGAGGAAUUUUAUCAAAUUAAAAUCAUUCAUUCAUUUUGGGAGAUGAAAUGUACAUUUCAUCAAUCCCCUAAAUCCAAUGGUUUUCACUUAAAAAAGUCAAAUCAAACUUGACCAAGGCCCAAACACAUAGUCAAACAUCACAAGUCAAUAAAAAUGGCUCAACAUAAUUUCUAUACAAUUAAUCAAUUAAAAAUCAAAUUAAAAAUUCAUUUAAAUUAAGUUUAAUUUGGGCAAAACCUAAAACCUCUUCAAAACACCAAAUAAAUGCCCAAGAGAUUUAUCCUAGGUCAAUGAAGGUCAAAAGACCUUAGACAAAAAAUUUCAUGAUUUUUGAAAAGUCAGAAGUAUUUUUAAACAAUUAAAAAUAUGCACAAAAACAAUUAAUUCAUAAAAAAUAUCAAAUAUAAUCCAAAAAAUAAUUUUAAUUCAGAAAAUGGAAGAGGAAAAUAUUUAAAUAUUUUUUGUGAAAGUCUCAUGUUUUUUUGGGUUAAAAAUGAAAUUAAUAUAAAUUAAUCAAAAUAAGUGGAUUAAAUGAAAAAUCAGAAAAUACAAAAAAAAACAAGGGCCAUCAGAUCUCCCUUAUUAAUGAGGUCGCAGAUCUGAUGGCCACACGCGCACGUUCCAUCAUACGCCUUGGUCAAGGCGUUGUACGCGUGGUGAUCACAAUGAACGCUUGAGAUUAAAACAUUUGAAUCAGAUCAGAUGACUUGGACUUUGCCAACGCACCACCGGAGCCCUAACUCCAGUCAUCUUCUUCGGUAAUCACCAACAGUAUGGUUCAGGCUUAACUUCAUGAAAAAUGAAAAGUGAAUACAAUAAUUUGAAGGAAAAAUGCUCAGGAGCACGAAUCUGGCCUCAAUUUUCUCCAAUUCCAAGUAUAUAAAAAGAUACAAGGAUUUGAAUUUUGAGGAUCAUGAACUGAGUUGCUUCGAUUUAACCUCAAAGCAACUCAAUCUUGUUGCCUACAUUGGUAGGACUUUAGCCAACCAAAAAUCACAAAGAAUGGUGAAGAAUUGAGAGAGAAUCGAAGAGAUGAAGUUUCUGAAAAAUUACCUUCGAGUUGCUUCAAAUUCACUUGAUCUUGAUCUGGAUUUGCUUGCUUUCUCCUCCUCUUGCUUUCAGAAAUCAAUUGAGAUGAAAAGGGAAGUGAAUUUCUGGAGUUUGAACUUCCAAACAGAAGAUGAAGUUCAAGCUCGAUUUAAAAGAAAUCUUUAAAAGUUCUAUGCAUUGGAGGGUAUGGAUAGGUCUGGCAAAGCUUGGGCAAGGUGUUGAUGAAGUUCUGAUCAUAUUGCUUCUCUAUUUAUGGCCAAUGCAUGUGCUGUUAACACACUUCCAUUCCAAAGUUCAAAAAUAGAAAGUGUCUUCAUGAGAUAGCAUGGGCGUGCACAAAUCCCAAACAAUCAUUUGCAAAGGUCUAAAGUCAUGCAUAGGUCAUGCUGAAAGUGUUGCAUUAAGCCAUGCGUUGUUGAAUUGAAUUGGAUCAUGAAAUUCUUCCAAAUGGUAACUCACAUUCCACCCAUGUGCAAUUCCUUCAUUCUUUGUCCAAAUGAGGUGAUCUUGGACUUUAUGGAAAGGUGAGAUCAAGGGGAACAACUUUCAUGUUGAAAACGUUUUAAUUUUAAGCUUGAUUCAUAAUUAAUUUUGAGGUGGAAGUUUGGAAAAUCAUACAUGUUUGAAAAUUUUCUAAGUACCACGUCAUAUGUUCACUUCUUCCACCUUGAAUAAAUUUUGUUAUGGACUUCAAAUGGAAAAACUUCCUUCAUAAACGUUGUAGCUCUUUCAAAUAUAUUCAAUUUGGUCACAAAGUGGACCCCAUUUGGAUUUGGCAUGAAGGAGUUAUUCAUUUUAGAAGUUGAGAAAAAUCAGUUGUUCAAUGGUAGUGGCCCAAAAUGACCUAUAAUCUUUCCUCUUCGCACAUGCAUUUGCAAGUUGAAUUUUAACUUCUUCCAAACAUAAAAUUUGAAAAGGAAAUCUUGAAUUUAAUCAUGAAACUUUAAUGUCUUUUAUCUCAUACAAAUUGAGAAAGUUAUGGUCUUUGGAAGUUGACCUCCUAACUAGGGUUCAUACAAAAUGACCUAUAAUCUUUCACCAUAAAAAAUGACUUUCCAAGAAAAACUAGAUUUUGACUUCAAAAUGAAUUUUUUUUGUAAUUUCAUUAUGAGUAAUGUUUAUCUUGGAAUAAUUUUCAUAUGACCUCCUAAUAUGAAUUAUCCCUUAAAUAUUUGAUUAAAUGUUGAAGAAACUUGUUGAGGAAGUCACAUAAGAUACCCAAAUGAAUUAGGGUUUCCAAGGCAAACAAUCUCCAAACUCUGGAUGAAUUCUUGAUCAAAAUGACAUGUGAAGGUCAUGGGGAUCCAUAUAUGAUGCUUAGAUCCAAUGUGAAAUGUUUCUUGAUUGAGCUAUUUGCAUUGAGGGUAUCAAACCCUAGAUAUGAGCUUGAUGGAUCCCACUUCAUAUUAUUUUUCUCAUUGAGGGUUUGUUGGAGCUUUAUCUGCAACUCUUCAUUCUCUUUUUCUAGCUUUGCCAUGGUGGUCUUGAGUUCCUCCAUUUCUUCAAUAGGGACAUGGGUGAGCUUAGGUUCAGGAAGAGGUAUAGGUGUUCGAAUGACAAAUGGCAUUUUAAUCUCUCUUUUUCUAGCUUUGCCAUGGUGGUCUUGAGUUCCUCCAUUUCUUCAAUAGGGACAUGGGUGAGCUUAGGUUCAGGAAGAGGUAUAGGUGUUCGAAUGACAAAUGGCAUUUUAAUCAUCUGCACCCUUUCCUUUAUCCACUGAAAAUAUGGUUCUUUUGUAAUCCCAUUUGCUCUCCCUAACUCAAUUUUCCCUUUUCGAUUGACAUUCUUCCAAGCUUUUUUGAUUCGCUGGAAUAAGCUAGGAUUCUCAACCCCAAAGUCAAGUAAUAAGAAAUCUUCCAAAGAAUUUGCCUCUGGAGGGCCUUCCGUUGGGUAGCCAAGUUGUCUGAGUGAUAUAUUGGAUUAGCAUUCACACAUCCUUGAGUUCCAAUAAGCGGUAGAUUUGGGAAAUCUCCACAAUUGAAUAUGAUAUCCAUGUUGAUUUAUUCUUUGGAGUACCAAGAGAGAUCUUCAGAUCGGAGCGAUCCCAAUCUUUGAGGCCAACUAACAUCUGUCUAUUCAACCUAAGCACCUGUCUUCGGAAGAUGUUCUAGAAACCACUGAUACAAUAAAGGAGCACAACAAGCAAUCAAUCCCUUCUUUUUAGUAUACCUAUGACUUAUGUAAUAAUAGACAUCAGCUAACAAAGUGGGUAAUGGGUUCCCAGUAAGGAAAACACAAAUGGCAGUCAUGUCUACGAAACCAUCCAUAUUCGGGAACAGGACGACGCCAUAGAUGGCCAAUUCAAUAGCAGAGUAACAAGCAUCCCAACUUUCUGCCUUCAAUAGGGUAUGAGCUAUUUCCAAAAGAAAACUUAGUGAAAAUCCUUUGGUAUUCCCUUUGGUCUCUAAGUUAGCUUCUACUUUCUUUUCAUCCAUGUGAAGCGCACUAGCAAUGACCUCAAGGGGCAAAGAUUCAUCUGUCCCUUCAAAAAGUGACUUGUUCUUCAUAGGAAUCCUAGCAAGACGCUCGAAUUCUUCCAACGUUGGUGCGAGCUGGAAGUCUUAGAAUGUGAAGCAUCUUAAAGGUAGGUCAUAAAAUUGGGCUAAAGUGAUUAAGGCUAUAUGGUCCACUUGUUGAUUGAGGAUGCUGAGCAAAUUGCCAUAACUCUUUCCAAAGUUGAUUCGUUAUACAGGGUGCAUCUGAGAGACCAAGUUACGUAAGUUCUUUAGAUCGGGAUCCUUAAACUUGAAGGCGUAAAUGUUUCUUUUGCUUCAUUCCAUGUUUCUUGAAUUCCUGCAACUCAUGAUACUCAGAUUCCUUGGAAAUAAAAUAGUAUAAAUGUUAUGCUAUGAAUGAUAUUAUGCGUGUCACAUGUAGGUUAAUAUACAGGUCAUGAGAGUGGGUAUUCUUGGUUACUAAACAAAACCCUUUUGGGAGAAUGCUAAAGGUAAGAGGUUCCCAAAGUCAUCAAUCAAUAUUUAAAAAAGUUAUUGUCAUGAUGAAAACUCAUCUGCUAAUAACAUCCCUAAAUAGUGUCUCGUUUGGGUGAGGCCUUCGUAUGGUCCCAAAGAGGAAGACUCCUAGUGGGUCAUACAACUCUCGAGUCCAAGGUUCUCAGAGUCAUAGAUCGAUGUUGGGAAUACCACUGUAAGGUAGUAAUACGCCCAAGGGAUCUCAUCUGAUUAGGGCUUUCGUAUUAACCCAAUAAGUCUGGGACUUUUCAGGUAGAUACUACAUAACCACCAGAUAUAAUGGGUUAAAAGGUCCCUAGAGUCAUUGAUCCAACUUGAGAAUACUAUCGUCAUGACGAAAACUCGUCGGACAAUAACAUUUCAAGAAAAUCUCCUCUAGGCGGGGUCUUCGUUUCUUCCAAACAAGGAAGACUCCUUGUCGGCACCCACUCUGCAACCACCAACUUAAUCUUAUGGUUUUCCUCAGACUCGGGUGGAGAGCCUAUCUCGCAAAGUAUCACCAACCAGAGAACCCCCAAUAAGACAUAGUCAAUAAAUCACAAUAUAAUAAUUAUGACAGAAUAAUAAUAGCAGAAUAAAAAUAAAUAACAGAUAAACAAACAAGAUUAACACACAAUACAGAAACUGAACUAAAUUAGGCUUCACUCUCUUUUGCUUGGAGCUAGUCCCCAGCAGAGUCGCCACCGAACUUUAUUUAUUCCAAUGAAGGAAUAGGAAAAUAUCGAUAAAACCUUUAGGAAAUGGAAUAAUGGUCGUCGCAACCAUAUUCGGGUUCGGGAGUGGAUUACGCAAGAGGAAGGUAUUAGCACCCCUUACGUCCGUUGUACUCAGCGGGAACCUUUUAGUUUUAAUUUGCUUUUCGAGUGUUAAUUUAUGUUUGUUUAUUAUCUUUGGGUUAUAAAAUUAUUAGAAAUUGAAAGGGAUGAGAACCUCAGAAAGGGAAAGGGGAGGUCUUUUAUUAGUGUGCUCGCGAAGAUACAACAAUCUCCUACCUGCGUAUCCUUAUGGCAUAAUAAGGAAAUCAGAGCAUUCGUAGUUCGGGAGACUAUGGUUGGUUGGUGUCUUUUAGUGAACAACUAUUUAGAUUGCGUUCUAAAGGCUAAACAUUGACUUGUCUACUCUCGGCAGAGGCUUAAACGCUAGUUUGUUGUGCGCAUUAGAAAGGAUUAACAGCAUUCUUUCUGAAAGAGUUUUGGGUCACACAGGGAUGGAAAGUUGGAUUAAUAUGUUGGAUGUUUUGAUUGGUUGAGAUAUUUUGGUUAGAUGACGAUCACUCGGAUAGUCGAGUAAGACAACUCGUAUCCUAACAGUCGGGAAAGGGAGUAGAAGACUCUAGACCAUUUUCUUUUUCAUCUUUAAUUAUAAGAAAGAUCUGAUAAUAGUUAAGGUGUUUUGGAAGGAUGACGAAUACUCGGAUAAUCGAGUAAGACAACUCGUACCCUAAUAAUCGAGAAAGGGAAUAGAAGACUGUAGACCGCUUUCUGUGUCAUCUGAAUAUUUAUGAAGAUAAGGCUAUAUAAGGUUGACGUAUUUUAGCAUGAACGACAAAUACUUGAAUGGCUGAGUAAGACGACUCAUAUCCAAGCAUUUGAGGAGAGGAACUGAAAACUCAAGACCAUCUCCCUUUUCGUAUAACUGUUAAGAAAAUGAUUUGAUUAAGUUGUAUGUUUGCAGAAAAAUGACAAUUGUUUGAUUGACCGAGUAAGAAAACUCGCAUUCGACCAAUUGAGGAGUGAAGUUGAAAACUCAAAGUCGACUCCUUUUUCACUUAUCUUACUGUGAAAAUAUUUUGAUUUAAUCAGGGUUUGGAGAUUUGUAGAGGAAUGACAAUUAUUUGACUAACCAAGUAAGAGAACUCGUAUUCAAAUAAUCGAGGAGAGAAAUUGAAGACUCAAAGUCAUCUCCCUUUUUGUUUCGCUUAUUAUGAAAGUGUUUCGAUUUGAUUGUGCUUAGGUGGAUAGAAAUGACAACUAUUUGACUAACCGAGUAAGAGAACUCGUAUUCAAAUAAUCGAGAAGAGGAGUUGAAGACUCAAAACCAUCCCCCUUUUCAUUUCUAAAUGAAGUGAUAAACGUAAUUAGGCGUUUUAACUAAUUUUGAAUAAAAAUACUCGACAUUGAAUCGGGGUUUUAAGUUUGUAUUUAUGAGUGAAUUGGAUUAUUACUAGUGUACCAAUCAUCUAUCCGAUUAAUUACCAACUGAGAAGGUCUCAUUGUAAGAAAGCCCAAGAGUAAGCUAUGUGAGAUUGAUGGCGAUGCUAAAAGCGAUCGACUUACAAAGGUAUUUGAAACCGGGACCGGAUAUUGGAUUGAGAAUCAUGUGAUUUUUAAAUGGCUUAAUAUAACACUUUAGGGUGAUAAAAGGAUGAAAGUCAUUGUGAAAAUAUAACUUAAAACAUGAUUUAUAUGAACCUAAAAAUUGCAUAAAUGAGUCUUAAUCAAGCACAUACAAAAUGAUAGCUCAAACAAAUUCUACAAAUUAAAUCAAUUAUUAAUCUUAAAUUAAUGAGUAAAGUAUUAAAAUAAUAGUUAAGUAAAUAAAAUGAAAAGAUAUUAUUAUUUCAUAGCAAUAAUACUGUAUAUAUGUUUUACAUGUAUAUAUAAAGAAAUAGGUAAACAAUAAAUAGUAAAGUAAAAAUGGGCUUGAUUAUAUAAAUACUAAUUGAUUAAGAUUAUAUAUGUUUUACAUGUAUAUAUAAAGAAAUAGGUAAACAAUAAAUAGUAAAGUAAAAAUGGGCUUGAUUAUAUAAAUACUAAUUGAUUAAGAUAAUUAAUUAAAAUUUAAUUGAACAAACUACUAACUACGAUUACUAGAUUAUUAUAUUUUACUAAUCAUAUGAUAUUAGAACGACUAAGUAUAGUUUAUAAAUAUGAUAAAUUUCAUGAAACCAAGAACUACAGAUUAAGCUCUGUAGCAAUGUUUUAUCUUUGGAAGAAUAUUAUAAUCACUUUACAAAACUAGAGAAAAGAUGUAUAGUGUCCCUGUUUUUAACUUUAGCUAUCAUCAUUAGUCACUGAUAUUUAUUAAGGCCACGAGAUGUUACUUUCUCAAGAAAUGAGUUGGAAAUAAAACCAAGCUCCAUAAAAAGAAAGUGACCGCUUUAAAGAAGUUGGAUCAAUGUAAACUAUCAGACACUUUAUUUUAUUUUAUUAUCACUACUGUCCCAUAAUUAAAAGAAAAGGUCAUGAUAAUUUUCAGAGUUUACUAGUACCUAGAGCCAUUAAUCAAGGUGAGGCAACAUUACGCAUGAAGGGCCGCCAACGGGAUUUAUACUCUUGAAACUAACAUAAGCAUGCACAGUAACCAACAGACAAAAGAAUUAAAGUAGCCAUAGAUUUUAAACGCACAUGGAAUCAAAACUGAAAGGAUAAAGAUGCAUUACAUUACCCAAUGACACACUUGUCAUUCCCUCUUCCCAACACACAGCAUCACAACUUAGAAAUAAAUAACUAAUAAAAAUGAAAGCAAUGUGAGCAAAUACCAUUCCUACAUGAGCAACAAAUCGUCUCUCUCUCUAACUCAGAGCAACAAUGUGCUCUGCAACUUCCGACCCAACCCACAGCCAAAUCCCACCGGAGAAAACGGUGGCGGCCGGUCAACGGUGGCGGCAGCGCCUUCUUCUUCGGCGAACCUCUACCUCAGAGCUUAAAUUCCAAACACUAACCCUACCUAUUCUAACCUCGCGAUCACAGAUCCGGUCACGAAAACACCAAAAAAAAGGUUAACCUAAAGCCUUGGAUCGGAAAACCCUAACCAUACACAAAAAUCUAAACAGAGUUCUUUUCAAACCAAACCACAUAAAUCUUCUCCUCAAGCCAAAACAAACACAAAAGAAAAUAUACACCAACAUUCAGAGUCAAAACCCUAAGUCUACAAAUGAAGCCACAACGACGGAGAUUUUAAGCAAUUGACAUGGGGGUUUUUGUCGGCUUAUCAAGACGAACAAGGUGGUGCAAAUAUUUAAAGCGAAGGAGAAAGAAGAAGUACUUGACCGGAAGUGGGUCGCUGACGACGUCUUCUCCGCGGUCGUUUCCAGAUAAGUUCCUUUCUAAUAAUCCAAUUCCCUUCGUCUUACUCUGUUCUUUUUUAACUUUGAGCGCCUUUAGAUGGUUGUGUUGAUGAAAGAUUAUUUUGAUUUCUUUUUCGUUUCUUGAUUCACUGUCCUCUUCAAUGUCCUUUAUUCUGGGUAUUUAUGUUCUUUUCAUGAUGAAUUUAUUCAGUCUUGAGAUAACUUGUUAGGUUUCUUUUUUCUUAUCCUCAAAUUUCAUGGGAUUGUUGUUUUGUGGUUUCAUUGUUGUUUGAACUAGUUAACGAAACACAUUCUUGGGUGUUCGUGGUAGUCUUUUAGGCAAAACAUUAACCUGAGCAUUUUGUUAAUUAUCCUUCAGUUUUUAAGCGCUUAUUGAAAAAGCUUUUAACUUAGAUUGUCACUUCCUUCGCAGGUCACAAAAUCAAUUGAGGAAAAGGGAGCGGAUGUCUGUUGGUUCUAAGAAGAGGUUGGGAUUUUUAGAGUGCUUUGGCCCAAGAGAUGACUUUGGCCGCUGGCUUUUUUGGAAAUUCCGUCUUGACACUGUUGAACAAUGCAACUACUUUUAAUUUUCAAAAUUAGUCAUUUAAGAUGUACUUUGGACUUUUGGAAUGUAUUGGAUAAUGUAUUAGCCUUUGGAUAAUUAUGUAACUUUGGGAAUUAUUUGUAACAUUUUGGAUUAGAAUUCAUUUCCGUAAUUAAUCCUUUUUAAUCAUUCAAAACUUGCCUUAAUAUUUUAUUUGUGCUAAUAAAAAAUGCUUAAACUUUAUCUCAAUCUGAAAAUGGUUUAGGCCAUAAUGCAAAAAAUGGACUU